rnacentral:rRNA from 1 species
YUAUCGGCUAACUCCGUGCCAGCAGCCGCGGUAAUACGGGGGAUGCAAGCGUUAUCCGGAAUCAUUGGGCGUAAAGCGCCUGUAGGUUGUUUAAUAAGUCUGUUGUUAAAGCCUAGGGCUUAACCCUAGAAAAGCAAUGGAAACUACUAGACUAGAGUAUGGCAGGGGUAGAGGGAAUUUCUAGUGUAGCGGUGAAAUGCGUAGAUAUUAGAAAGAACACCGGUGGCGAAAGCGCUCUACUGGACCAUUACUGACACUCAGAGGCGAAAGCUAGGGUAGCAAAAGGGAUUAGAUACCCCUGUAGUCCUAGCCGUAAACGAUGGAUACUAGAUGUUGUGCUUCAUGUACAGUAUCGUAGCUAACGCGUUAAGUAUCCCGCCUGGGGAGUACGCUCGCAAGGGUGAAACUCAAAGGAAUUGACGGGGGCCCGCACAAGCGGUGGAGCAUGUGGUUUAAUUCGAUGCAACGCGAAGAACCUUACCAGGGCUUGACAUACUACGAAUUCUUUUGAGAAAAAGAAGUGCCUUCGGGAACGUAGAUACAGGUGGUGCAUGGCUGUCGUCAGCUCGUGUCGUGAGAUGUUGGGUUAAGUCCCGCAACGAGCGCAACCCUUAUUUUUAGUUACUAAUUCGUUAGGUUCUCUAGAAAGACUGCCGGUGACAAACCGGAGGAAGGUGAGGAUGACGUCAAGUCAGCAUGCCCCUUAUGUCCUGGGCUACACACGUGCUACAAUGGUUAAGACAAAGAGUCGCGAGCUCGCGAGAGUCAGCUAAUCUCAUAAACUUAGCCUAAGUUCAGAUUGUAGGCUGCAACUCGCCUGCAUGAAG